GGAGAUCUUCACUGAAGGCCUACUAUGCACCAGAUGGUGUUAUAAGUCCUGGGGGUAAAGCAGAAUAAGGCAAGCAAACACCUCUG
rnacentral:lncRNA from 1 species